rnacentral:rRNA from 1 species
AUUGAACGCCGGCGGCAUGCCUUACACAUGCAAGUCGAACGGCAGCGGGGGAGAAGCUUGCUUUUCCUGCCGGCGAGUGGCGAACGGGUGAGUAAUACAUCGGAACGUGCCCUGUAGUGGGGGAUAACUAGUCGAAAGAUUAGCUAAUACCGCAUACGACCUGAGGGUGAAAGUGGGGGACCGCAAGGCCUCAUGCUAUAGGAGCGGCCGAUGUCUGAUUAGCUAGUUGGUGGGGUAAAGGCCUACCAAGGCGACGAUCAGUAGCUGGUCUGAGAGGACGAUCAGCCACAUUGGGACUGAGACACGGCCCAGACUCCUACGGGAGGCAGCAGUGGGGAAUUUUGGACAAUGGGCGAAAGCCUGAUCCAGCAAUGCCGCGUGUGUGAAGAAGGCCUUCGGGUUGUAAAGCAUUUUUGUCCGGAAAGAAAUGGCUCUGGUUAAUACCUGGGGUCGAUGACGGUACCGGAAGAAUAAGGACCGGCUAACUACGUGCCAGCAGCCGCGGUAA